AGAGUUUGAUCCUGGCUCAGGAACGCUGGCGGCAUGCCUUACACAUGCAAGUCGAACGGUAACAGGGAGCUUGCUCCGCUGACGAGUGGCGAACGGGUGAGUAAUACAUCGGAACGUGCCCAGUAAUGGGGGAUAGCUCGGCGAAAGCCGGAUUAAUACCGCAUACGCCCUGAGGGGGAAAGUGGGGGACCGCAAGGCCUCACGUUAUUGGAGCGGCCGAUGGCUGAUUAGCUAGUUGGUAGGGUAAAGGCCUACCAAGGCGACGAUCAGUAGCUGGUCUGAGAGGACGAUCAGCCACACUGGGACUGAGACACGGCCCAGACUCCUACGGGAGGCAGCAGUGGGGAAUUUUGGACAAUGGGGGAAACCCUGAUCCAGCAAUGCCGCGUGUGCGAAGAAGGCCUUCGGGUUGUAAAGCACUUUUGUCAGGGAAGAAAUCCUUUGGGCUAAUACCCUAGGGGGAUGACGGUACCUGAAGAAUAAGCACCGGCUAACUACGUGCCAGCAGCCGCGGUAAUACGUAGGGUGCAAGCGUUAAUCGGAAUUACUGGGCGUAAAGCGUGCGCAGGCGGUUGUGUAAGACAGGUGUGAAAUCCCCGGGCUUAACCUGGGAAUUGCAUUUGUGACUGCACGACUAGAGUGUGUCAGAGGGGGGUGGAAUUCCACGUGUAGCAGUGAAAUGCGUAGAUAUGUGGAGGAACACCAAUGGCGAAGCAGCCCCCUGGGAUAACACUGACGCUCAUGCACGAAAGCGUGGGGAGCAACAGGAUUAGAUACCCUGGUAGUCCACGCCCUAACGA
rnacentral:rRNA from 1 species